GCUAAUAUAGGUGAAAAUAGAAUAAUACUGCUUUGAGAAGGUCCCUUGGUGAAAGAGCAGAAAAUAGGUGGAGGUUUGGUUUUCCACAACCAUACCAGAGAUUACCACUGGGUGAAGAACUCACUAAAUGAAAUUAUUUGAGUGCCGAGGACAGCCGUUUUAUUGAGCUGCUUCUGAGCUGGAGCCCUUCAUAAGAGAUGAAGCUGCUACAACUUGCCUUCCUUUCUCUCAAGAGCUGUGUAGCCUCUGCUGCCAAAAGCACUCUUCUAUUGGAGCACAUGCAGCAGGUGACGCACUGUGGACAUGAGAAAAUACAGAAGACCCUCGUUAAUUACCUGUGCAGAUGACACUGGACUAGAAGAACUAAGGAUUAUGAAGA